rnacentral:sRNA from 1 species
GUUGGUAGAGCAGUUGACUUUUAAUCAAUUGGUCGCAGGUUCGAAUCCUGCACGACCCACCAAUUUCAGCAUUUAACUCAGAUGCUGAACGUGAAGGAUAACGUUGCGUCAGCAACGGCCCGAAGGGCGAGGCAAAGCCGAGUCAUCCUGCACGACCUACCA